ACAUCAGUAGUUCAGUGGUUAGAAUUUCUGCCUUCCAUCUUACGAUCGAAAAGCAGAAGGCCCGUGUUCGAUUCACGGCUGAUGUA